rnacentral:rRNA from 1 species
UACGGAGGGUGCAAGCGUUGUCCGGAUUUAUUGGGUUUAAAGGGUGCGUAGGCGGCCCUGUAAGUCAGUGGUGAAAUACUGCAGCUUAACUGUAGCAUUGCCAUUGAUACUGUAGGGCUUGAGUACAGAUGAGGUAGGCGGAAUUGAUGGUGUAGCGGUGAAAUGCAUAGAUACCAUCAAGAACACCGAUUGCGAAGGCAGCUUACUAAGCUGUAACUGACACUGAGGCACGAAAGCGUGGGGAUCGAACAGG